AGCGGUUUCGAAGGCAGGUUUACUACAGUAAAUAGUGGUUUUGCUACAGUACCAUUGGUUUGCCUCCCUCAACUUUUGAAGCUGUGUAUCUACUUAUAUGGAGUAAAAAAAUUAGAUUUUCCAUGUUAUGAUUUCCUGUGAUUUACUAUGAUUUUUCAAAAAUUCAGCCGAAAUAAUUUAAAAAGAAAAAGACAAAACCACUGUUAAACCACCAUUCACUAUAGCAAAACCAUCUUCGGAAGUGCUCCAAAGAGAUAAAAUGCAUGGUUUGAAAAGUUGAGAGAGGUGGUUUGCUCGAUUUUGAGGUUGAGGAAGAAAAAAUUAACUUUCGUGAAAGUUGGAUGAGAAAAGUAGAUUUUUUGUGGACAUAUAUGGUACCCACUACCUGUGACUAUGUGAGAGAGCAUCGACGCGGACAAUUCCUCUCGCCCACGGGAAGAGUUUCGGCCCACGUCCACACAUUUGCAUUGGCCCAUUCAGCGUCAAUAUAUUUGGCCGCGUAGGAGAGCCGUCGACUACGUUAU
rnacentral:lncRNA from 1 species